GUGCUUGCCUCAGCAGCACAUGUACUGAAAUCAGAACAAUACAGAGAAGAUUAGCAUGGCCCCUGUGCAAGGAUGAUACUCGGAUUCAAGAUGCAUUCCAUAUUUAA